CAGUCGCCGCGGUAAGACAGAGGAUGCAAGCGUUAUCCGGAAUGAUUGGGCGUAAAGCGUCUGUAGGUGGCUUUUCAAGUCCGCCGUCAAAUCCCAGGGCUCAACCCUGGGCAGGCGGUGGAAACUACCAAGCUGGAGUACGGUAGGGGCGGAGGGAAUUUCCAGUGGAGCGGUGAAAUGCGUUGAGAUCGGAAAGAACACCAACGGCGAAAGCACUCUGCUGGGCCGACACUGACACUGAGAGACGAAAGCUAGGGGAGCAAAUGGGAUUAGAUACCCCUGUAGUCCCUGUCUCUUAUAC
rnacentral:rRNA from 1 species